UACGGGGGGUCCAAGCGUUGUUCGGAAUCACUGGGCGUAAAGCGCAUGUAGGUGGCUUUUCAAGUCAACUGUGAAAGCCCAGGGCCUAACCCUGGAAGUGCAGUUGAUACUGUUGAGCUUGAGUACGAGAGAGGAUAGUGGAAUUCCCGGUGUAGCGGUGAAAUGCGCAGAUAUCGGGAGGAACACCGGUGGCGAAGGCGGUUCUCUGGGCCUUACCUGACGCUGAGGAGCGAAAGCGUGGGGAGCGAACAGG
rnacentral:rRNA from 1 species